rnacentral:ribozyme from 1 species
UUUUUUUUUUUUUUUUUUUUUUUUUUUUUUUUAAU